GCUGGUGCUUGCGUGGCCACAUUUGGUGGCGGGGAUGGAAGGUGCUGGUGGAGGGGGCCUCCGUGGUCGUCCGCCGGGCGCCCUAAUGAAGCAUCACAGGCUGGACGGCUCCCUGGUCAGAGAUGCCUCGGCUCUCAGCUCUGGAGGCUGGAGGUCUGAAAUCAAGAUGUGGGCGGGGUGGGCUUAUUCGGAGGCCCAUCUCCCGGCUGGUAGAGGGCUGUUUUCUCCCUGUGUCCUCACGUGGCCUUCUCUCUGUGCGGGAGCCUGUGCCUGUCUGUGGCCACAUCCCCUCUUCUUAGAGGGACACCCAUCCUAUUGGACCAGGCCCUCUCCCCCCGGCCAAAGACCUCAUUUUCACCCGACUUUCUUCUCUCAAGGCCCCAUCUCCAAAUACAAUCACAUUUCCAAGGUGCUGGGGUUAGGACUUCAACAGAUGAAUUCUGGGGGGGACACAAUUCAGCCCACGGAAGUUGUCUAGUGGCCGGAGCCACCUCCGUGUCCCGGGGACCCGGUGACCUUGUCCUUGUGGAAUCCACGGGCGGGAGAAGCGGAAGAUGCUGUGUCACUAAGGACUUCCUUCCGGUCUCGGGGGAGGGUGGCGCUCGGUUUAAUUCCAUUUGCUUCUUAGUAUUCUCUCUUUCAAUAGAUAAUGUGGGCCCAUGGAACAGAACCCAUAGCGCCCAGGGGUAUGAGAGGAAUGUCCUCCGCCUUCCCACACCACCCCCUUGGGCCCCCUCGGGCCCCUGGCCACGGGGUUGCCCUCCCCAACAGCAAUGCCCACUGUGACCAGUUCUGGGGGCUCUGUCCGAGUCCCCGCCUAACUGCCAUGCAUCCACUUAGAUCCGAGCUGCUCCGCUCCGGCUGCACGCCAACAUGUCCCGGGGACCCCACCUCCAGGAGACCCGUCUCUGGGGGCAGGCCCAGCACUGGUCCAAGAUGCCACCGGCUGACUCCUGAGCAGGCACGACGGAGAAACACAGCUCCGCCUGCCCCUCGACUCACUGGGCACCUCGUAGUCCAUCUGGGGCAGGAAGAGGGCGGAAGGGAAGGUGGCGGCCCCGCCUGGGUACCAGACCCUCUCACACCUGCUCUAGUUUCCUCUUCAUGACCUCCCCUCCAGGUGGCAUCCUUGCUGCCCCUGUUUUACAGGUGAGGGAGGUGACACUCAGAGGGGCCACCCGGCCCUUGAAGGUCCUCCUGCUGGGGAUGGGGAGCAGGGUCCUGGCUGGGGAGGGGUGCCCCUGCAUCAACGUCUUCCUCCCCCGGGCACAGCUAAUAGAAGGCUAGGAACAAAGCGGCUGCCAGGAUGCGGGAUGCAGUGAGACUGAGCUGGCUGAUGGAGAGGAAGGGCUCUGGGAGUCACAUGCUGACAGGGACUCAGGGAGCGCACUGCCCUAAUUGCUUUUCCUUUGAUCAAGUUUUUCCCUCCACCGCCAACUUUGGUUUUGCUGCCCCCCCACCGUUUCUCCUCCACCUGAGAAACAGCUUUCUCUGCUUUCACAGACCUUCAUUCUGGCUACUCUGCCCCGACCCUUCACCCCUUGCCCGCUGGCUCCUGUCACCUUAAUCCUCUGUCAGAUCUUGUUCUUUAGUCUGCUCUCUCCUUGCCUGGGGAGCUCAGGGACUGACUCACUGAUCCCUGACAGGACCGCAGUCUCUCAACCCUGAGCAGCAGGAGAGGAGAUGAGUAGUUUCCCUGAGCUCCAGCCCCAGCCUCUACUAGGCUUUUGUCCCAUCUACCCGUCCACUCAUCCAUUCACCCAUCUGUCCAUUCAUCCAUCCACCCAUCCACCCAUCCACCCACCCACAUACCCAUUCAUCCACCCAUCCACCAGUCCAUCCACCCACCCAUCCAUAUACCUAUCCACUCAUCCACUUGUCCAUCCAUCCAUCCAUCCACCUAUUGAUCCAUCCAUCCAUCCAUCCAUCCAUCCAUCCAUCCAUCCAUCCACCUACUGAUCCAUCCAUCCAUCCAUCCAUCCAUCCAUCCAUCCAUCCAUCCAUCCAUCCAUCCAUCCACCUACUGAUCCAUCCAUCCAUCCAUCCAUCCAUCCAUCCAUCCAUCCAUCCAUCUAUCCACCUAUUGAUCCAUCCAUCCAUCCAUCCAUCCAUCCAUCCAUCCAUCCAUCCAUCCAUCCAUUUACCCAUCCACUCAUCCACUUUCCAUCCAUCUAUCCACCUAUCCAUCUACCUAUCCACCCAUCCAUCCACCCAUCCAUUCCCUGGGAUUCGGCUGCACUUGGAUCACGUUGCUUUGGCCUGUACCUUCCCUCCUUUGUGCAGUCAGGGCACACGGGGUAACCCUCUGGAGCUGUGUGCGUGUUCACGCAUCAGAGGCUCACGGCAGCCUGUGGGGGUGGCGCUACCAUCGUCCCCUAAACUCCGGAGACCCCAGGUGCGGAGCGGUGAGGUGCCUUCCUACAGUCACGGCACCGAGGCAGACCAAGUGUGGUGCGUCCAGCGGGGCCCACGCCAGAGGAGCCAUGGGACAGCGUUGUCCAGAGGUGGCAUGUGGCACCUGCCCCGGGACCGCGCCGAGGACCGCCCCUCCCAUCAGCUCGGCUCUUAGCAGAAGGCACCGGCAGGGACAGAAGUGCCCAUGGACGCCAUUUGUUAAUGAAGGAGUCAGGCGGUGAGGAGGCAGCUGGAGUCACUUUGUGCUUUGAAGAGCCCUAACCAGGCCGGCCUGACUUGGUUGGUCGUGGGCCCUGAAUGAAUGCUGCUGGAGUCGUGUCUUUGCAUCGGAUACUUCAGGUCAAGGCAUUCGGGGAAUGCGCUGGACGCUGGGGCCAGAACUCACUUUACCACUGACAGGCUCUGUGGCGUUGGGAAAACUGUCUAACCUCUCUGAGCUUCAGUUCUCUCAUCUAUCCUUCCUGACAUUAUUCUUGGAGGUGUCAGUCUUUUGUCAUGGAGCUUGCAGUUCAACAAAUCAUUUCAGCCGUUCUUUCUUAAGAGUUCACUUUUGCCGGGCAUUGUCCUCGAUCCCAGGGAGAUGGCAGUGAACAAGAGAGACCUUCCUCUGUCUGAGCCCACUGAAGAGCCACUUUACAGCAAAGGAAACAGAAACAGAGAAGUUAAGAAGCUUGCCCGAGGCCACACAGCUCAUCUGCGGUGGAGACAGGAUUGGAACCUGGGCAUGGAAGUACUAGACUUCUCUUAACCGCUGAGCUAACCACCUCUUCGCGUCCCUCAGAGACUCAAGGCCUUGCGACCCUAAGAAUGUUGACCCUGGCACAGUGAGAGUGGGUUUCUCUAAGGUUCUGCCACCCAAAGCUGACUCUGGGGCACGAUGCUCUGCUCCUUGUGUUCCCAGAGCCCGUGCAGCUGCUCAGUGUGGCCGAGCGUGGGUCCUCUCGGGGUCUGUCUGCGAGUCUGGUUUCUUUAAAAAUGACUGGCUUGUUUUGAUUUCUUUGAUCCUUUGUGUGGAAAUAAAAACCCAAACCCGCAGCCUCCGGCCCCGGCCCUGUCCCCUGCCUGCUGGCCCGUCCCCCAUCCUGCACCUGGUGGCCAGCCGUCUGCUCUGUGUCCUCACAGCUGUCCCUCAGCCGCAGCGUCGUGAGGGACCUGGCCAGGCUCCAGGGCAGCCAGGCCGUGGGUGAGGAGGGGUGCAGCUCGGCAGGUGAGGAAGGGGGUGGGACGGAGAGGCCUGGAAUAAGCAGGUCCAGAAUAAGGCAGGGGAGCUGGGGAGAGUCCCUGGCAGGUCCCCCGGGAGCCUCCUGGGCAGAAGCCUCCUCCACGUGCCUCCCAGGCAGCAGAUGGAGAACAGACGAAUCCAGAAGCUUCUAUGUACCAGCACUGGGCUCCGUCCUUCACAAAUAUUGAUUAUUUUAAUCCACGUGCUGUGUUUCCAGGGCAGCAGAGCUCCAGCCCCCACCCCCCGGCGAGGUAGCCGGGUCCCCACUCAGCCGGGCGGCCCCAUCCGGCUCCUGCAUCUUCAGCCUCCCCCUUCAGACACCCCAGCCUGGGCGUCUGUCUCACUGGCAUCUCCAGCUCGGCUUGUGUACGCCUGGGCCCCUGCUUUGCACUCUGCAUCCACAUCACGCUGAAUCCGUGUUCAGGCCAACCCGUCUGCAGACUCGGCAGCCGCAGGCUUCCCACCCUUAAGGAGACUCUUUUUUCAAGUGUUGAGGUUAAAAGUAAAACUUUAAUGGAAAGCAUCGCCGAGCUAGCGACCUGGUGAUAUUGUCAUAUUAUUAUUUUUCUCUGUUAAUGACUACUUGAGGUGAAACUGUAAUCAUGUGGUGGUCCAUAAAGUCCUUUAAAAUAAUAAAGCGCUCUAAAACUGGAAACUUCUGGAAACAGCUCACCACACCACUCCAGGUUCAUUCGUUCAGUAACUGUUUAUCGGUCCAUGUACAAGCUUUGGGGCCAGUGGUGAGCUGGUGAGCAAACCGGCUCAGCCUUGCC